rnacentral:rRNA from 1 species
UACGGGGGGGGCAAGCGUUGUUCGGAAUUAUUGGGCGUAAAGAGCUUGUAGGCGGUUUGUCGCGUCUGCUGUGAAAAUCCGGGGCUCAACCCCGGACUUGCAGUGGGUACGGGCAGACUAGAGUGUGGUAGGGGAGACUGGAAUUCCUGGUGUAGCGGUGAAAUGCGCAGAUAUCAGGAGGAACACCGGUGGCGAAGGCGGGUCUCUGGGCCGAUACUGACGCUGAGGAGCGAAAGCGUGGGGAGCGAACAGG